UCACUACUGAAGAGUCCCAAACUAGGACGAAACAGUUGUCCAGUAC
rnacentral:hammerhead_ribozyme from 1 species